CCCUUAGAUGUCCUGGGCCGCACGCGCGUUACACUGAUGCAUUCAGCGAGCUUAUAACCUUGGCCGAGAGGCCUGGGCAAUCUUGUUAACGUGCAUCGUGAUAGGGAUAGAUUAUUGAAAUUAUUAAUCUUGAACGAGGAAUUCCUAGUAAACGCAGAUCAUCAAUCUGCAUUGAUUACGUCCCUGCCCUUUGUACACACCGCCCGUCGCACCUACCGAUUGGAUGGUCCGGUGAAGCCUCGGGAUUGUGGUUCUUGCCGCUUUAUUGUAGCGUGACCGCGAGAACUUGUCUAAACCUUAUCAUCUAGAGGAAGGUGAAGUCGUAACA
rnacentral:rRNA from 1 species